rnacentral:misc_RNA from 1 species
AUGCAAAAAUGGAUUUGCUUACUCUGGUUUUGUUGCUGUGCAUUUACCAAACAACGGCUGACAACGGAUUCUCCGUUCAGGUCAGAGCGUCGAUUAAAUCUAUAAUACCAGGAAAAAACUUUUCCAUUGAUUGUAAUAUUUUUGUAAUGAACGACAUUGAUUACCUGGAACUUAAAGGAGAAUUUCUUUUGAGACAAAACCAUAACAUCAUAAGACCGAUAAAAGUGAUAAUAGGGGACACAACAAGUGCAACCAAAAAGUAUAAAUGGACAUUAAUCAACAAUUGCACUGAUGAGUCACAAAACAGAACUUGCAUGACCUUGAGGUUAGAGGUCUUUAACACCAGUCUUUCGGAUGAGGGAAUAUAUUCGUGUUAUGUGACUCUCCACUCGCAGACAAAACAGGAAAGUGUAAAUUUAUAUACAAAUAAAACAGAAAACGUUUCGAAUUAUGUCAUUGUGCGACAAACUGAAGCUCCAGUGAGCUUAAUUCCUCAUCAUUGUUGUAAAUAUGGCUUCGGUGUUUUUGAGGAAGAGUCACUUUUGAAUCGUAUCCAACUUCGCCCAAACGAAUCUGCGUAUUACCCUCUAUCUAAAGCAUUUUAUACAAACAAAGGAUGCACUAACAUAUUCAACCCAUGGGUUUCUUUUGAGGGGUGUUACAACUAUACUAUAGAUGAACUCGAGGAAGUGGAUUGUACAACCAUCAGUGUAACGAAAUGUUUUACUGGGAAUCGCUCCCUUCCCUUAAUUGGAAUCACGAGGAAUGAAAGAUGUAUAUUAUUGGAUCAAAGUCUUCAAGAUCUAGCUGAAAAAGUUUCAUAUUACUACUGCGGAAAAGAGAAUACGGAUUCGGGCAAAUAUAUAAAAUUGUUCUCAAUUAUUGACAAAACUUAUGAAGAGAGAGAGAAAGAGAGAGAGAGAGAGAACUGGGAAAUAUUAAAUUAUUUUUGUAAAUUGGUUUCAAGGUACACGUAUUCCAACUUUCAUUGCAAAGAAUGAGUCAUCUUGCAAUGCGACUUACAUAGAGUUGGACAAAAAUGAGCUAUGGGGAUUUCCAUGUUCAGAUAGUCAACGCUGUAGUGCAUUUUGCCUUCAACAAGAUGGAUCCAAUGCUACCUACCACGGAUACAUCCGUUGGAAAAAAGCCACGGACACCUGUAACCGUCUUAACAAAUCACUACCUGGCAUUAACUCCAAUUUCCUCAAUACAACGCUUGACAAAAAUAACAAUACUCUUAUCUGUCUGGCUGUAUACCAAACCUCAUCCAUUGUGUUUCGGCCAGUUAUCAAGCAAGUAACUAACAUCAAUAGUGUUACAGCUGUCCAACCAAGAAACAGUGCUCGAAAUCUUCCCUUUUUAUGCCGGGUCAUAACAGAUUCAGAAAAGCCACGUCCUUGUGUCAGCACUUCAGAAACGGAGAAUAAGGAUACCGGGGUACUAACUAAGACAAAUAGACCUUUGGAUCAAAGAAAUAUCAAACAGAUAAUCAUCAUAGCACCUUCCGCCGUUGGUUUCCUGUUGAUAGUCGUUGUUGUUUCUUGUGUCAUCCAUAGAAUUAAAAAGAAGGGUAAAAUUCAAAGAGAUCAACAAAUUAUAAACACCGGUGUUCUGUACAAAAAACACAUCUAUUCACACAAAGUUGAUACAGAAGAAGCAGAACCCGUAUCAGAAAACAUUAAGAGGGAACCAGACAAUAAUAUCGACCAGUUUGAGGAGGACUAUUCAAAGCUUCAUUCAGCUGACAAAAACGAAUUCAAUAAAAUGUAUUUAGACGAUGAAUACGCAAUGACUGAAGGGGGGUGUGAAUAUGAUGUCUUAAAUAGUAAAAGGGAAAACCAGGAAGCUUCAGCCGAUGCCAACAUUUAUGACAGGACAAAUAAUUCAGUCAGUGGGAUUUAUGAUACUACUUUACAGACACCAGAUAACGAUACUUACAACUUAUAAAUUUGUCCAUGUAUUUGAUAGUUCAACUGAGUGUACAUGCAAUGUUACUUAAUGGGUGAUUAUCUUUUUCAUGAAAUUAUUAUAUAAAAUGGCGAGACAUGCUGUUAGCUUUUUAUAUUGACUUUAUGUCGGAUAUUUUUUUGUUUUCAAAUGAUACAGUAAAAGCUUCCGUUUUCUUUACAUAAAUACUUCUAUAGUUCAAUGGCUAUAUGGAAUAAUUUUUUAUUCCUUUUUUUACUACUUUUGUUUUUAAACCAUUUCAUUGUUAUUAUAUUUUGAAUAAAGACUAUAUAAU